AAUCCUUUGUCCCUGGGUGAGAAUGC
rnacentral:piRNA from 2 species